rnacentral:rRNA from 1 species
CAGUCGCCGCGGUAAUACGAGGGGGGCAAGCGUUGUUCGAAAUUAUUGGGCGUAAAGGGCGCGUAGGCGGUUUGGCAAGUUUGGUGUGAAAUCUUCGGGCUCAACUCGAAGUCUGCAUCGAAAACUGCCGGGCUUGAGUAUGGGAGAGGUGAGUGGAAUUUCCGGUGUAGCGGUGAAAUGCGUAGAUAUCGGAAGGAACACCUGUGGCGAAAGCGGCUCACUGGACCAUAACUGACGCUGAGGCGCGAAAGCUAGGGGAGCAAACAGGAUUAGAUACCCCUGUAGUCCCUGUCUCUUAUAC